rnacentral:rRNA from 1 species
GACGAACGCUGGCGGCGUGCUUAACACAUGCAAGUCGAACGGAAAGGCCCUGCUUUUGUGGGGUGCUCGGGUGGCGAUCGCGUGAGUAACACGUGUGUAACCUGCUCUUGACUUUGGUAUAACUUCAGGAAACUGGGGCUAAUCCCGGAUAGCAUCUCCUGCUCCAUUGUGGGGGUUGGAUAGUUUCGGCUGUUGGGGAUGGAUUCGCGGCUUAUCAGCUUGUUGGUGGGGUAGUGGCUUACCAAGGCUUUGACGGGUAGGCGGCCUGUGAGGGUGACCGGCGACAUGGGGACUGAGGGACGGACCAGACGGCUACGGGAGGCAGCAGGGGGGAAUAUGACACAAUGGGCGGAAGCCGGAGGAAGAAACGCCGCGGGCGGGAUGACGGCCUGCGGGGUGUAAACAGCUGUCGCCUGUGACGAAGCGGGAGUGACGGUAAUGAGUAAAGAAGCACCGGCUAACUACGUG